rnacentral:rRNA from 1 species
UACGUAGGGUGCAAGCGUUGUCCGGAAUUAUUGGGCGUAAAGAGCUCGUAGGCGGUUUGUCGCGUCUGCUGUGAAAUCCCGAGGCUCAACCUCGGGCCUGCAGUGGGUACGGGCAGACUAGAGUGCGGUAGGGGAGAUUGGAAUUCCUGGUGUAGCGGUGGAAUGCGCAGAUAUCAGGAGGAACACCGGUGGCGAAGGCGGGUCUCUGGGCCGUAACUGACGCUGAGGAGCGAAAGCAUGGGGAGCGAACAGG